rnacentral:rRNA from 1 species
AUUGAACGCUGGCGGCAGGCCUAACACAUGCAAGUCGGGCGGUAGCACAGAGAGCUUGCUCUCGGGUGACGAGCGGCGGACGGGUGAGUAAUGUCUGGGAAACUGCCUGAUGGAGGGGGAUAACUACUGGAAACGGUAGCUAAUACCGCAUAACGUCGCAAGACCAAAGAGGGGGACCUUCGGGCCUCUUGCCAUCAGAUGUGCCCAGAUGGGAUUAGCUAGUAGGUGGGGUAAUGGCUCACCUAGGCGACGAUCCCUAGCUGGUCUGAGAGGAUGACCAGCCACACUGGAACUGAGACACGGUCCAGACUCCUACGGGAGGCAGCAGUGGGGAAUAUUGCACAAUGGGCGCAAGCCUGAUGCAGCCAUGCCGCGUGUAUGAAGAAGGCCUUCGGGUUGUAAAGUACUUUCAGCGAGGAGGAAGGCAUUGUGGUUAAUAACCACAGUGAUUGACGUUACUCGCAGAAGAAGCACCGGCUAACUCCGUGCCAGCAGCCGCCGUAA